rnacentral:tRNA from 1 species
UCCCUGGUGGUCUAGUGGUUAGGACUUGGCACUUUCACCGCUGCCACUCAGGUUCAAUCCUUGGUCUGGGAC